AAUAGGAUACAUCUCGACAGCGUUCCCAGAUGUCCCGGCUCAAUCGCCCCACUCCAAACACACACGCUCAGCUGUAACAGGAAGCAGUUCAGUCCGGCCGCUCAAUAGUGUGACACAUAGCAUCUGUCAUCUGGACAAUCAAUGGUUCCUCUCAGACGUUCACUCCCGAAGAUGACCGUCAUGCCGAGCACGGACGGAGAACCCGAUCCUCUCUGGGGAGAAUUACAUGAAGAACAGCUCAGUUUCUCCCAGCAGAAGCGUCUAACGCCAGAAAUGGAUCUACAGUUUCCCUGAUGCGCAGAUGGAGACAUUUCCACUGUACUCUUUAGCGGUGUCAUCAAACAGCAUGAAUGUAGAUGAGAUUGGAAGUGACAGACUUCAGGAGAAUAUAACCUCUCACAUAUUCGCCCCUCAGAGGAACAUGAUGAACCUCCUACAGCGAAUAUCAGAUGUCUGAGAGCACUAAGAGAAGCAUUAUGACUAAGAGAAGAGCGUGAGAUUUGAGUACUGAAGCCGCCUGGGAUCGUAUGAGUUACUGCUGCUUAUUUUAACAUGACGUCUCAGAUAAACAACGAUAAGCUUCAAAGAGGAUAUUCACAAUGGUGACAUGAGAUCGGACUCACAAUUUAU